rnacentral:rRNA from 1 species
UACGUAGGGUGCAAGCGUUAAUCGGAAUUACUGGGCGUAAAGCGUGCGCAGGCGGUUUUGUAAGUCAGAUGUGAAAUCCCCGGGCUUAACCUGGGAACUGCGUUUGAAACUACAAGGCUAGAGUGUGGCAGAGGGGGGUGGAAUUCCACGUGUAGCAGUGAAAUGCGUAGAGAUGUGGAGGAACACCGAUGGCGAAGGCAGCCCCCUGGAUUAACACUGACGCUCAGGCACGAAAGCGUGGGGAGCAAACAGG